rnacentral:sRNA from 1 species
GCCCAAAUCGCACGUGCCUGUGGUCGCGCGCCGGUUGGCGUCAAGCUGGACAAGCCCUAAAAGUCGGGGCGCAGGUCGGCGAGGCGCAUCAAAAGCAACUGGCGGCCGGAAGCGAACCGGCGAACUCCCGUCUCGACGGAGGUUCGCGACUUAAAGCAACGACGGACCGGGCUUUU